GGUCGCGCAGGCUCUCCUGCCCGCCCGAGACCGGGGGGGCCCCGGGGGCGGAGACCGGAGUGCCGCGUGGGCUCGGGGGGCGGGGCCGCAGCCCUCAGGCCCACCCCUCGGGGCUGCUUCCCGGCCGAUGUUGCCGCCCUUCCCGUGCACGUUCUCCUCGAGCCCCCCAGCGUCGUGACUGAAUACCAGCUCUUUUGCCCACCUGAGGAAAGGGUGUCUGAGGACCACGGAGACCACCCCUGCGGGGAAUUUGACAAGGUGUGACUCUUCGGUGCUGAAUAUGCUUUUGUCUGAAAACAAUUGGAGUACCUGAUAAUUUUAGGUGACUUUUAGAAUUUUUAAAUUUUCAAUUUUUCAAAACACCUCUUUGCAUUAACUUUUUUCUUUUUUAUGAGUGUUUUCAUUUUGGAAGGAUAAGUCAAACUAUACAGGAGAAUAUUAAGACUUUAAACAAUAUUUGUAAAUAUACUAUGAGACAUUUAAUACAUUGUGAGCUAAAUGACAGCAGAUAUUUAUCGAAUCUUUUAAGGAAAGGCACUAAGUGCUUCAGGGAACUCCCUUUCGUGCACAGCUGAGACAUCAUUCCUGCCCACAAAUCACUUUAAGCCAGAACCAGUAGAUUAGUAAAAA